rnacentral:misc_RNA from 1 species
UACAUACAAAUUUGAGAUGCAUAACAUAAUGCCUUAAUUAUGAAACUGAGGUGAGACAACCAAUCAGCUGAUAAAUUCCUGUCAGUCAGAAAUGGUCAAAGAUCAAACACAUACACACGUUAACAUGUUUUCAAAUAUGUCAAAUACAAAUAUCCUAUCUCCCCACACUCUCCUUUUAAUUUCCUCACCCACACAACUUCCCCAUUCCCGGGUGAUUCUCCAUCCCUUCUUGCGACGGUAAUGUCCCACAGUGACAGCCAGUGACACCUACAAUCCUUCUCUAAGAAAAUUAUGUGACGGGUCAUCACACAUGCAUAAAUGAUAGAUUUCCCUGAAACACAAAGCAUUGCAAUGUCUAAACGCGUAUAUAUUCCUACCUAGUAUACUUGUCCUUUGUCUUCUACCGUAGAAUCCAAAUGAUUUUGAACGACAUAGGUAGGUAAAUACUGAACAUGAAUAAUGAAAGAUAUACGGUAUUUCAGACGGUUUAUUGACGAGUCGAGUGGGAAGCAUCUCGCGCCCCACACAAACAGAGAGAGAGAGAGAGAGUAUUAUAGUUGAGCGUACGCCAACCGACUAUCGUUUUUUAAAUUUGUAUGUAGUACCUCUACAGUAAACAGUGAACACAAAUAAUUCCUGGAAGUAGGAACUGACAACUCUGCACCGAUGUAGUGCUUUCCCCCACGGCAGUAGGCUGCAUUUCAAACUAUUUCCACCCUGGCUGCAUAUUUCUGGCAAAAAGCAGCGGCAAAUUACCCCAUGUAAACCCAUCUUACAGGAAUGAGUGUCUCAGUGGCUGAAGCUGUAUCAUGAGCAGGCAUGAAAGAAUGUAAAUAACUUUGUUUACAUUCCUUGUCGCAACCCAGCCAGCACGUGACUCCCUGCCACUGCCAGCUGCAAGGCCUGCAACAACAGUCUAUUCUAUACUCAGUAGCGUCUGUGACAGUGCCGAGAGCAGUAUGGGGACCGUUACCCUUCCCAAGAGACAACUACCCACACCACACCAGCAAGUGUCUUACAGCAACAGUGCAAACAAGCCGGAUUAUAAAGUCCUAUUCUACAUCCCAAACAUUAUUGGUUAUGUACGACUCUGCCUCCUCUUGCUUGCCUUCUGCUUUCUGUCUUCCUCUCCUGUUUGGUUUGUCAACUUCUACAUCGCAUCCAUUGUGCUCGAUGCCUUUGAUGGGUUUGUGGCGCGUAAGCUGCAGCAGUGUUCACUCUUUGGAGCUUGGCUUGAUGUUGUGCUUGACAACCUUAGCCGGGGCUUAUUGUGGACACACAUACACCCUAUGCUGUACAUUGUAUCUGCUUUGGAGUGGGCAACAUUCUGCUGUAAUUAUGCCAUGGGAGCGGAGUGGCGGCAGACAUUUGUGCGGGGCAAGAAGGAGGUGCCUUGGAUGAUAGCCUACAUUAUGGCCAACAACUGGCGGAAUCCACUGGGUGUGUGGGUGAUCUCAGGCCUCCAUGUGUUUCCUCUGUGGCUGUUUGGCUUGCAGUAUGGAGUGUUCAUGUCCCAUCUAAGUUUUCUUCCAUAUAGCAUCCAGAUGGCAGGCCUGGUUGUUCUGGGUAGUGGCCGUCUGGUCUGUGGCAUUACAGAAGUGUGGUGUUUGUGUUCCCACAUUUCUAGCAUCUUGAUUAACUCUUCCUCUCCAAAGUGAAGGUUUGAUGCAAGCUACUGAAGCCUCUUUUAGCCAUCAGUUAUGUAUGUAUAAUUUACAGAAAUGUCCGUCCCUUGCCAUCGCUGAUGAUCUCAGUUCCAUUGUAUAUAUAAAUCUUUGUCUUUCAUUCCUAACAGGUUGUAUAUGUAUAUCAUGCAUACAUUUGAUUUUAUAUAUGGAAUCUCCUUUAAUGCAUAGAACUAUAGAUACUAUAUUCACAUAAGCUGGAUUCUUAGUACUUAGGCAAAUUUGUAAUGACAUAGUUGAUUGGCUGAACCAAAACUAAAACCAAUUUUCUUCCAUCUUGUUAAUUCCUUACAGUACCUCUUGAUUCUACAGUCACUGAUAAGAUUUACAGUGUUAACCAAAACUGUUUUUUCUGUAUAUGAAGUGAGCUAUGGGAUAUAAUAUAGAAACAUGUCUCACUCCAACAUGCAAGGACAAGAUGUAGUCUGAUGGGAGUGCUAGUGAGGGGAUGACGCAACCAAUGAGCUAUGGCCUGUGACUUUACAAAUCUGCCGAGACACCAAGAAUCUACCUUAAAUAAAUGUAGUAUAGCAGAUUUUUUUCUUCGUAUGUUUAUUGCAUUUUGUACAUAUAAAUGUUACCAUUUUAAUGUUAUGAAUGGGUUUUAGAGGCUCAAAAAAGUUCCAGUAGUACUAGUAUCUGUGAACUUAUUACUUACUGUUAUCCAGAUGCCAAUGAUGAACUUAUAGUUACAAAAACCAAGGCCAGGUAUAGAGUUGCCUUAAUGAUAUUACAAUGUAACACACCCAUAAUGCAUUUCUAUGUGAUGUAGAUACAUGUAUACAUGUAUAUAGUCAACAAAUGGUAAUCCUGCAUUACAGUGGUGCACACAGUUUACUUAAGGCCUCCAAGCAAGCACAAAAGUUGGGCUGGAGCAAAUCAACUUUUUUUGCUAUCAUAAAUGCAUCUUUUCUCUUCACACACACCUAUACCAACAAUGGUCAGUGUUAAGCAGGUCACCUGUGUCCGUGUUCAUUGUAUCUUGGCUGACGUGUGAUCAGGUCUGUUCUUAAGGUGCGUUCACACGAUCGAACAAUGUUCGACGGACAUAAUUGUUACCAACUAGCAGUGGAAAGCGAAAAGGCUCGCUGAUGACGUCAGAAGCGAGCACCAAGUGGUGUACCGGACACUGUCCGUGUUCGCAGCAUCGAAACGUCACACACUGUCUGGUGUGGAAGUAUACAAUGCUGCCAGGUACACGAUGAACAAAGUCACUUGGUUACAGGAUUUUCAAAGUCCGUCAGUUCACUAGGUCUCAAUUGUCCUGUUAACAUGGCCAGCAGUACCUCAGUCAAGGAGAAAAGUUGCCACUGGGACAGAAAAGAGACCCUGCUACUAAUAAAACUAUACCGGCAAAAUCCAUGCUUAUGGAAUGUCAAGGCUGAUGUGUACAAGGAUAGGAACAAACGUGUCGCGACCAUCAAUGAAAUAACGGCGGGAAUGAA